CCUACGGGUGGCAGCAGUGGGGAAUCUUUCACAAUGGGGGAAACCCUGAUGCUGCGACGCCGCGUGAGUGAAUAAGUAAUUCGUUAUGUAAAGCUCUAUCAACAGGGAAGAAAAUUACGGUAACUGAGUAAGAAGCCCCUGCUAACUACGUGUCUGCAGCCGCGGUAAUACUGAGGGGGUAAGCGUUCUCCGGAUUUACUGGGUGUAAAUGUAGCGUAGACGGCAGUGCAAGUCUAGAGUGAAAGGCGCGGGCUCAACCCCCGGACGGCUCAUGAAACUGUACGUCUGGAGUGCAGGAGAGGGAAGUGGAAUUCCCAGUGUAGCAGUGAAAUGCAUAGAUAUCAGGAGGAACACUAGUGGCGAAGGCGGCUUCCUGGACUGUAACUGACGUUGAGGCUCGAAGGCCAGGGGAGCAAACGGGAUUAGAUACCCUUGUAGUC
rnacentral:rRNA from 1 species